rnacentral:snRNA from 1 species
GUGCUCGCUUCGGCAGCACAUAUACUAAAAUUGAAAAUACA